GCCAGGUAUGGUGGCGCUCACCUGUAAUCCCUGCAGCUCAUGAGGCUGAGUCAGGAGGAUCUCGAGUUGAAAGCCAACCUCAGCAGCCAUGAGGCACUAAGCAACUCAGUGAGACCCUGUCUCUA
rnacentral:sRNA from 1 species